AAGUAUUAAAUGCAAAUAAACAAGCAGAACCCCAGGAAAUAAAACAACAUCAACAGGAUAACACAGAACAACAACGUGAAGAAGAACCUACACUACAAGAAGUAAAAGAAGCAAUAUUGAAGCAAAAAAA
rnacentral:lncRNA from 1 species